rnacentral:rRNA from 1 species
UACGUAGGGUGCGAGCGUUGUCCGGAUUUAUUGGGCGUAAAGGGCUCGUAGGCGGCGUGUCGCGUCGGGAGUGAAAGCCCGUUGCUUAACGGCGGGUUGGCUUUCGGUACGGGCAUGCUGGAGUGCGGCAGGGGAGACUGGAAUUCCUGGUGUAGCGGUGGAAUGCGUAGAGAUCCGGAAGAACACCGGUGGCGAAGGCGGUCUGCUGGGGUAAUGCUGACACUGAUGCGCGACAGCGUGGGGAGCAAACAGG